GACGUGAAGAGGGCGGAGGACGUGGUGAAGGUGGCCAUGGCUGACAACUUAAAAUUUGCAGUGUUGAUUGGCUUGAUCGAGGUGGGCCAGGUGUCCAACAAGGAGGUGGUCAACACAGUGCUACAGCUGGUAAGUGUGGCUGGUGUUAAGAGCGGUAAUCCUUAAUAAACGAGUGGAGUGGUCAGCCUUCGGUAAGUGUGUGUGUGUGUGUGUGUGUGUGUGUGUGUGUGUGUGUGUGUGUGUGUGUGUGUGUGUGUGUGUGUG